rnacentral:piRNA from 1 species
UAGCCAUUGGGUUGUCUCUGGUGUUUGC